AACCAGUUUAAUGAAAUUUGUUUCUCCUUCUUGGUGGAUGUAGGCAGUAUUGCCGAACCACGUAAUCUUGUUCUUCUCUUGCUCUCUGUCUCUCUAAACUCUCGAUACUCUGUUUUUUGCCCCUCUUCAUAAUUCUUGACAGAAAUAUUCAUCAUUCCCGCUCUGGACCUUUCCCUCUCCUCCCCCGAAGAUUUGAAGCACAACUAGCCCACCCAACGGUCCUUUUCUUUUCCCGUUUUUGAUGAAAUAGAAAAAUUCCUCCUGACCAGUGUAUUUCCAGCAGCAAACGGUAGCUCACAUUUGAGCCCCGAGAGAGAGAGAGAGAGAGAGAGAGAGAGAGAAUCAAUCCAUCAUUGAUCGAGAGAAAGAGAGGGAGAGAAGGAGGGCUCUGCUGGACCCAGGGAGUUCGCGGACUUUAUUUUCACGCUUCUUCUCUUCUCUUCUGCUGUUUGCAGCUCGAUUGCAGGACAAAGGUGCUUCAUGUUGACUUAAUUGGUUAUGUUUUUAUGAGAUGCCCCGCUGGUAAUAUCUAGGAAUGACCACCACCUGCCAUCCUCUGCCAGAGUUGGUGACCAUCGGAGCAUCAUAAUUUUGGUUUUGAGAAGAGGAAGUGUCAUUCAUCACGAGUUGUUUUCUGUAGAAGCUAUUGUCCAUUGGAGCAAUCUUCGCUGGUCAGACCAUCCAUUAUGUCAUUUGAGUUAGAAAGAGAGAUCCUCGGUUUUAUCUAGAUCCAGCAAUGGUUACAAUUGGAUCCAAAUCCGACCCACCCAUCACCCCAGAUGGCUUGCUGGAAGCAACUUUAUAGAGAAACUGACUUCUUUUUAGAGACCAAGCAUGCAAUCAAAUCCCUUUUGGAUGCAUAUUUAAAGGCAAGGCAAACUAACCAAGGGAACUUAUUUGGGAUGGCCCAGCUGGGCAGCAGUCCAAAUCAAGGCAACUUAAUGUGGUUGGUUAAAGUUAUUUUUUCUUGUAGUUUUAGGGUUCAUCAUCAUGACUAUAUUUGAUGUGAUAUGCUGUCUCUUACCAAGUCCUUCUGUUUGGACCCACCUUGUCUCAAGCCCCCUGUUGAUCUUGAUCUCCU